UUGAACGCUGGCGGCAGGCCUAACACAUGCAAGUCGAGCGGUAGCACAGAGAGCUUGCUCUCGGGUGACGAGCGGCGGACGGGUGAGUAAUGUCUGGGAAACUGCCUGAUGGAGGGGGAUAACUACUGGAAACGGUAGCUAAUACCGCAUAAUGUCGCAAGACCAAAGUGGGGGACCUUCGGGCCUCAUGCCAUCAGAUGUGCCCAGAUGGGAUUAGCUAGUAGGUGGGGUAACGGCUCACCUAGGCGACGAUCCCUAGCUGGUCUGAGAGGAUGACCAGCCACACUGGAACUGAGACACGGUCCAGACUCCUACGGGAGGCAGCAGUGGGGAAUAUUGCACAAUGGGCGCAAGCCUGAUGCAGCCAUGCCGCGUGUGUGAAGAAGGCCUUCGGGUUGUAAAGCACUUUCAGCGGGGAGGAAGGCGUUAAGGUUAAUAACCUUGGCGAUUGACGUUACCCGCAGAAGAAGCACCGGCUAACUCCGUGCCAGCAGCCGCGGUAAUACGGAGGGUGCAAGCGUUAAUCGGAAUUACUGGGCGUAAAGCGCACGCAGGCGGUCUGUCAAGUCGGAUGUGAAAUCCCCGGGCUCAACCUGGGAACUGCAUUCGAAACUGGCAGGCUAGAGUCUUGUAGAGGGGGGUAGAAUUCCAGGUGUAGCGGUGAAAUGCGUAGAGAUCUGGAGGAAUACCGGUGGCGAAGGCGGCCCCCUGGACAAAGACUGACGCUCAGGUGCGAAAGCGUGGGGAGCAAACAGGAUUAGAUACCCUGGUAGUCCACGCCGUAAACGAUGUCGAUUUGGAGGUUGUGCCCUUGAGGCGUGGCUUCCGGAGCUAACGCGUUAAAUCGACCGCCUGGGGAGUACGGCCGCAAGGUUAAAACUCAAAUGAAUUGACGGGGGCCCGCACAAGCGGUGGAGCAUGUGGUUUAAUUCGAUGCAACGCGAAGAACCUUACCUGGUCUUGACAUCCACAGAACAUUCCAGAGAUGGGUUGGUGCCUUCGGGAACUGUGAGACAGGUGCUGCAUGGCUGUCGUCAGCUCGUGUUGUGAAAUGUUGGGUUAAGUCCCGCAACGAGCGCAACCCUUAUCCUUUGUUGCCAGCGGUUAGGCCGGGAACUCAAAGGAGACUGCCAGUGAUAAACUGGAGGAAGGUGGGGAUGACGUCAAGUCAUCAUGGCCCUUACGACCAGGGCUACACACGUGCUACAAUGGCAUAUACAAAGAGAAGCGACCUCGCGAGAGCAAGCGGACCUCAUAAAGUAUGUCGUAGUCCGGAUUGGAGUCUGCAACUCGACUCCAUGAAGUCGGAAUCGCUAGUAAUCGUAGAUCAGAAUGCUACGGUGAAUACGUUCCCGGGCCUUGUACACACCGCCCGUCACACCAUGGGAGUGGGUUGCAAAAGAAGUAGGUAGCUUAACCUUCGGGAGGGCGCUUACCACUUUGUGAUUCAUGACUGGGGUG
rnacentral:rRNA from 1 species